rnacentral:other from 1 species
AAACCUCUGCCAUGCUCGAGACGGGCGCACUUUUGUAGACCCUACAACAACGACCCAGGGAACCAAGACGUUCCGGCUGCGUGUAUAAUCGAGCGCACUGUCGAUUCACACGACCCGGACGCACGGUACCCACCUUGAUUUGCGGGUCCGUUCAAAAGACCGCCCUACGGCAUUUUGGCGGAGGUUUU